AUUGAACGCUGGCGGCAGGCUUAACACAUGCAAGUCGAGCGGGGGAAGGUAGCUUGCUACCGGACCUAGCGGCGGACGGGUGAGUAAUGCUUAGGAAUCUGCCUAUUAGUGGGGGACAACAUCUCGAAAGGGAUGCUAAUACCGCAUACGUCCUACGGGAGAAAGCAGGGGAUCUUCGGACCUUGCGCUAAUAGAUGAGCCUAAGUCGGAUUAGCUAGUUGGUGGGUAAAGGCCUACCAAGGCGACGAUCUGUAGCGGGGCUGGGAGGAGGAUCCGCCACACUGGGAGUGAGGCACGGACCAGACUCCUACUGGAGGCAGCAGGGGGGAAUAUUGGGCAAGGUGGGGAACCCUGAUCUAGCCAUGCCGGGUGGGUGAAGAAGGCCUUAUGGUUGUAAAGCACUUUGAGCGAGGAGGAGGCUACUUUAGUUAAUACCUAGAGAUAGUGGACGUUACUCGCAGAAUAAGCACCGGCUAACUCUGUGCCAGCCGCCGCCGUAA
rnacentral:rRNA from 1 species